GCCUACGGGAGGCAGCAGUGGGGAAUAUUGCACAAUGGGGGAAACCCUGAUGCAGCGACGCCGCGUGAGUGAAGAAGUAAUUCGUUGUGUAAAACUCUAUCAGCAGGGAAGAAAAUGACGGUACCUGAGUAAGAAGCCCCGGCUAACUACGUGCCAGCAGCCGCGGUAAUACGUAGGGGGCAAGCGUUAUCCGGAUUUACUGGGUGUAAAGGGAGCGUAGACGGCAGUGCAAGUCUGGAGUGAAAGGCGUGGGCUCAACCCCCGGACUGCUCUGGAAACUGUACGGCU
rnacentral:rRNA from 1 species